rnacentral:lncRNA from 10 species
UUUUUUUUUUUUUCUUUGAGAUGGAGUCUCUGUCGCCCAGGCUGGAGUGCAGUGGCAUGAUCUCGGCUCAGUGCAACCUCUGCCUCCCAGUUUCAAGCAAUCCUCUGGCCUCAGCCUCCCAAGAAGCUGGGAUUAAACAUGCACCAUCAUGCCCAGUCAAUUUUUUGUACUUUUAGUAGAGAUGGGGUUUCACCGUGUUGGCCAGGCUGGUGUCAAACUCCUGACCUGGAACUCCUGAUCCGCCUGCCUCAGCCUCCCAAAGUGCUGGGAUUAUAGGCAUGAGCCAUUGUGCCUGGCUUCAACUUACUUUUUUAAAACUUGAAUCACAUUCUGUAGACUGAAAAAUAACAGAAGUUAG